UGGGGAAUCAUGGUCAAUGGGCGAAAGCCUGAACCUGCGACGCCGCGUGAGUGAUGAAGGUCGUAAGAUCGUAAAACUCUUUUCAGGGAUCUUAAAGCCUGUCUGUCAACAACAGGCAGGUCUGACUCUCCCUGGAAGAAGCCCCAGCCAACUACGUGCCAGCAGCUGCGGUAAUACGUAGGGGGCGAGCGUUAUUCGGAAUUACUGGGUGUAAAGGGUAUGUAGGCGGCCCUUCAAGUCGGGGGUCAAAGUGCGGGGCUCAACGCUGGGUGUGCAGGCGAAACUGACGGGCUUGAGGGCGGGAGAGGUGAGCGGAAUUCCCGGUGUAGUGGUAAAAUACGUAGAGAUCGGGAGGAACACCAGCGGCGCAGGCGGCUCACUAGACAGUUUCUGACGCUAAGAUACGAAAGCGUGGGGAGCAAACA
rnacentral:rRNA from 1 species